CGAUGCUACCCGAAAUGGUCCAAUGGAGCGACACCAGAAGAUGUAGAAAAACGGAGGCGCGAAAAGACGCAGGUGGCACUGUACCUGUUUCACUCCGCUAGUCCAAAGAGAGGCUGGUGAAGACACUGCAGUGAGUGCUCAGCGGAGGUCUGACAUCCGGUCCGGUAUCUCAUAAAAUCAAGGUCCUACCAGCUGAGAAGUACAGGGAGCCUAUUGAAGGGGAGAAUGGGGACACCAUGUCAGCAGAUGCACUGACAGCGGAACAAGUACAGACCGCCAUGGUUGCCGUUUCCAGUUUGGGCCAACAAACUAGUUCCAGUCAUCCUUGAAAAACCAGCUGGCACCAGUUCUUCCCUGGACGUUCAGUUAAGCAGCUAAAACAAGUUAUACCACAUGGUUCUCAGCAUGGGGGAAGCAAGACAGGCUCUGUCAUGGGGCUGCUGUUUGUACCCAAACACCCACGGUGCCCCUGACAGCUUCUCCAAGGAUACCGAGAUGUGGCGGAUUACACCCCCUUGGCAGAGAGGAAAAAG